rnacentral:lncRNA from 1 species
UAUGAGCUGACACAGCCACCCGCGGUGUCAGUGUCCCCAGGACAGACAGCCAGGAUCAGCUGCUCUGGAGAUGUACUGAGGGAUAAUUAUGCUGACUGGUACCCGCAAAAGCCAGGCCAGGCCCCUGUGCUGGUGAUAUAUAAAGAUGGUGAGCGGCCCUCUGGAAUCCCUGAGCGAUUCUCUGGGUCCACCUCAGGGAACACAACCGCCCUGACCAUUAGCA